AUUUAGGGUUUGAAUUAGGGUUUGGAUUAGGAUUUAGAGUUUGGUUAGGAUUUAAUUUAAGUUUUGGAUUAGGAUUUGAGUAGGGUUUGAUUUAGGGUUUGGAUUAGGAUUUAGGAUUUGGUUAGGGUUUAGGAUUGGAUUAGGGUUUGGAUUAGGGUUUAGGAUUUGGAUAGGGUUUGAUUUAGGAUUUGGAUUAGGAUUUGAAUUAGGGUUUAAGGUUUGGUUUAGGGUUUAGGAUUUGGAUUAGGGUUUAGGAUUAAAUUAGAGUUUGGAUUAGGAUUUAGGACUUGGUUUAGGGUUUGAUUUAGGAUUUGGUUUAGAAUUUAGGGUUUGAAAUAGGGUUUGAUUUAGGAUUUAAUUUAAGGUUUGUUUAGGAUUUGACUUAGGGUUUAGGAUUUAUUAUUAUUUAAGAUUUAAUUAAGUUUGGUCUAAAGUUUGAGUGAAAUUCAAUAGGGUUUUAAUUAGAAUUAAAUUAAGGUUGAAUUGAUAUAUAUUUGAAUAAUAUUUGUAAUCAUUCUAAUAUUUCUUUAAGAAUUUUAUUGUUUGUUUGAAAUUUCUUUGAAUUGUUUUAAAUUUGAUUACGUUUGUUUACCAUUAUUAUAGUCUAAUUAGAGCAUUAUUAGUAUUCUAUUAGAAUUAGGAUUUUGUUAUCGCAAUUUUUAUUCUUCCUUCUACAUCCGGGUGCCCAGAGCAUUCUCAAGUAAGACUUCACACAUUAUGACAACAGACUCAACAAAUCAAGCUUCAGAUGAUACCCAUAGUUGGAAAAGAAUGGUGUUUAUUGAGUCGAUGCAUG
rnacentral:lncRNA from 1 species